CACGGGGGGAGCAAGCGUUGUUCGGAAUCACUGGGCGUAAAGGGCGUGUAGGCGGUCAAGUAAGUGGAAUGUGAAAGCCCCCGGCUCACCCGGGGAUCUGCAUCCCAAACUGCUUGGCUUGAGUACGGGAGAGGAUAGGGGAAUUCCUGGUGUAGCGGUGAAAUGCGUAGAUAUCAGGAGGAACACCGGUGGCGAAGGCGCCUAUCUGGCCCGAUACUGACGCUGAGGCGCGAAAGCUAGGGGAGCGAACAGG
rnacentral:rRNA from 1 species